rnacentral:tRNA from 1 species
GGGGGUGUAAUUCGGUGGUAGAACCCCUGCUUAGCAAGUAUGAGCCCCUGGGUUUAAUCCCCAGCAGCACCA